GGUCUUGCGGACUGGGGCUGCCCGCCUGGGCUCCGCAACCCGGCUCUCCCUGUCAAGCCCGGCCCCUCGGGCUCACCACUUAGAUCCUGCAGGAUGAGGAACCCGAGACCCUAGGUGGGGCGUGCUGCACCGGCCGGCAUCGGGGCGGGACGUGUGCAGCGACAGAGAGCGGCUUCUAAGGAGGCGACCUUGCUGAGCCAGCUCUGUGGAUUGGAGGCUGCUCGCAGCCCCCUCCCGCCAUCCUCCAGGGAGUGGAGUGAGAACGAGCCAUUGCUUAGAUAGCGUGUGCACACAGCCUACAGGAGGAUUCUGGACUCUGGAACUCGUAAAUGGCACUGCUCCCCACCUAUUGAAUUCGAAGCUAUAAUGGGUCUUAUGCAGAGGUUUGUGCACUCUUCAGUGUACUAUGGGCCUGGAUUAACAACCUGGCCUUCUAACACAGCUCCUUGGCUAACUGGUUGGUAGCCGAUGACCCGAGGCACCUUACCUACCUGCUCUGAACGUUUUAGUCUGCAAAAUGGAACUAUCUCUGUUCCUGAGAGAAACUUUUAUGAUAAAACAGAAUAAAAGUCUGGCACCUCA